rnacentral:siRNA from 1 species
UUCAAAGAUUUUGGGACCGAG